CCGGACGUAGUGCACGGCGCACUCCAGCUAUUCAUACGGCUGUUUGCACCAUCGCGUGAAUAGCUGGACAGCAGAUCUGGGUUCGACUCCCAGUGUCCGGG